GACGAACGCUGGCGGCGUGCCUAAUACAUGCAAGUCGAACGCAGUGGGGACGGGUGAGUAACACGUGGGUAACCUCCCAUCAGAGGAGAUAACACUUGGAAACAGGUGCUAAACCGAUACUGAUGGAUGGACCCGCGGUGCAUUAGCUAGUUGGUGGGGUAACGGCUCACCAAGGCCACGAUGCAUAGACGACCUGAGAGGGUGAUCGGCCACACUGGGACUGAGCAACGGCCCAGACUCCUACGGAAGGAAGCAGUAGGGAAUCUUCGGCAAUGGACGAAAGUCUGACCGAGCAACGCGGCGUGAGUGAAGAAGGUUUUCGGAUCGUAAACCUUUGUUGUUAGAGAAGCGGUAUCUAACCAGAAAGCCACGGCUAACUCCGUGCCAGCCGCCGCGGUAAUUC
rnacentral:rRNA from 1 species